GAUGAACGCUGGCGGCGUGCUUAACACAUGCAAGUCGAAUGUAGCAAUACAUGGCGGACGGGUGAGUAACGCGUGAGCAAUCUGCCCAUAUCUGGGGGAUAACAGUUGGAAACGACUGAUAAUACCGCAUAAUAUGGUUUGAAGGCAUCUUCGAACCAUCAAAGAUUUAUCGGUUAUGGAUGAGCUCGCGUCUGAUUAGCUAGUUGGUGAGGUAACGGCUCACCAAGGCGACGAUCAGUAGCCGACCUGAGAGGGUGAUCGGCCACAUUGGAACUGAGACACGGUCCAAACUCCUACGGGAGGCAGCAGUGGGGAAUAUUGGGCAAUGGAGGAAACUCUGACCCAGCAACGCCGCGUGAAUGAUGAAGGUCUUCGGAUUGUAAAGUUCUUUUCUAAGGGAAGAAGAAAGUGACGGUACCUUAGGAAUAAGCCUCGGCUAACUACGUGCCAGCAGCCGCGGUAAUACGUAGGAGGCAAGCGUUAUCCGGAAUGACUGGGCGUAAGGGUGCGUAGGUGGUUUGGCAAGUUAGUAGCGUAACUCCGGAGCUCAACUUCGGAACUACUACUAAAACUGUCGGACUUGAGUGCAGGAGGGGCAACUGGAAUUCCUAGUGUAGCGGUGGAAUGCGUAGAUAUUAGGAGGAACACCAGUGGCGAAGGCGAGUUGCUGGACUGUAACUGACACUGAGGCACGAAAGCGUGGGGAGCAAACAGGAUUAGAUACCCUGGUAGUCCACGCCGUAAACGAUGAAUACUAGGUGUAGGGGGUAUCGACUCCCUCUGUGCCGCCGCUAACGCAUUAAGUAUUCCGCCUGGGGACUACGGCCGCAAGGUUGAAACUCAAAGAAAUUGACGGGGACCCGCACAAGCAGCGGAGCAUGUGGUUUAAUUCGACGCAACGCGAAAAACCUUACCAGGCCUUGACAUUGAGUGAAAGUCCAAGAGAUUGGACCCUCCUUCGGGACACGAAAACAGGUGCUGCAUGGUUGUCGUCAGCUCGUGUCGUGAGAUGUUAGGUUAAGUCCUGCAACGAGCGCAACCCUCAUAUACAGUUGCCAAUAUUAAGUUAGGAACUCUGUAUAGACUGCCGUGGUUAACACGGAGGAAGGUGGGGAUGACGUCAAAUCAUCACGGCCCUUACGGCCUGGGCUACACACGUGCUACAAUGGCUAUUACAAAGAGUUGCAAUACAGCAAUGUGGAGCGAAUCUCAAAAAGAUAGUCUCAGUUCGGAUCGUGGGCUGCAACCCGCCCACGUGAAGCCGGAGUUGCUAGUAAUCCCGAAUCAGCAUGUCGGGGUGAAUGCGUUCCCGGGUCU
rnacentral:rRNA from 1 species